rnacentral:lncRNA from 1 species
AUUCACAUUCAUAGUAAAAUACCCGGUCCAAUUAAAUUUGUAGGGGUUAUGUGUUAAAAUAUAAAGGUGAGGGGAUAUUUUUUUCCUCAUAGUAAUAGAAUCUUUGGUUCUUCUCUAGAGACAACAUAAUAUAUAUAUAUUCACAACCAGUAUCCGACUUACUAGACCGUCUAAUUAAGUUCGGGGUCAGUUAAUAUAGAUUUUUUAGACGCAAACAUAAUAUAGACUUUAGAGUAAUG